GACGAACCGUGCAAACGUUGUUCGGAAUCACUGGGCUUAAAGGGCGCGUAGGCGGGUUUCCAAGUCUGUGGUGAAAUCCUCCAGCUUAACUGGGAGAAGUGCCGGUGGAUACUGGAAGUCUCGAGGAGGGUAGGGGCAUCUGGGAACUGCCGGUGGAGCGGUGAAAUGCGUUGAUAUCGGCAGGAACUCCGAUGGCGAAGGCAAGGUGCUGGACCCUUUCUGACGCUGAGGCGCGAAAGCCAGGGGAGCAAACGGG
rnacentral:rRNA from 1 species